UUGAUCCUGAUCGGGUUGGACUGGCGGCCGUUGGCGCCGGCGGCGGCCGACACGAGAUCACGCGGUGCGUCCGCGGGAUCGUC
rnacentral:tRNA from 1 species